rnacentral:lncRNA from 1 species
AGAUAAGACCAUGGCACAUGGAUUAGUUGGUUGCUCAUUCAAAUUCAAACUUUCUUUUGAAUUUGAAUGGCCAACUAACUUAUUUUUAUCCAGAUAUUUGGUGCACAAGGGUGGGCAUGGGAUGGCUUCUGUGUGGAGAAAAUUCAUGAGAAGUUGCUUCUCAUGAAUUUAAAUAUGCACAGAAGAAGUGAGGUGGCGCAGGGAGAAAAGUCAAGGUGGUUUGAACCUAAUUGAGCCAACCUAAUCUAAAUAGGUUAAGCACAAUUAGAAUAAAUUAAAUCUAACUUAAUUAAGCUUAAUUAGGCUCAAUAAAAUCUUAAUUAAAUCAAGAAUUAACUAAACCUAACCCCUGAUCAAAUCAGGGACUAAACCACCUUAGCGAUUAGGUCAACAUUUAACCUAAUCGGGUCAAUCCAAACUGAAUCCAAUUCAAUUGGACUUGAUCCAAAAAUAAUUACUCAAUCAAAUUGAGUUAAUUAGUGAUCAAAUCACUAAUUAAAUCUUUCAUAAAUAUUGAGUCCAAAUCCGAUGGGCAAUCAGGCAUCAGAGACCAUCGAUAUGAAACCCUGAUCAAAUAGUUCAAAUUUCAAAUUCAAAAUUUAAAAUUCAAAAUUUUGACCCCGGUACCCAAAAUGUGUGAAACUCAUGAUCAGAGAAUCCUAAUUCUCAAUCAUAGAGUUUCAGAUACAUAAGACUCAUAAUCAGCCAUCUGAUCAGAAAGGAACCACUAAUGUGUGUGACCCCGCAGGUUCGAACCUAUGCCGAUAGCACAGGAAUCAAUUCCUGUACUAAUCGAAGUGACCAUCUAGCAAUGGUACCCGAC